rnacentral:rRNA from 1 species
AUUGAACGCUGGCGGCAUGCCUUACACAUGCAAGUCGAACGGCAGCACGGGGCAACCUGGUGGCGAGUGGCGAACGGGUGAGUAAUGCAUCGGAACGUGCCUUUCAGUUGGGGACAACGUAGCGAAAGUUACGGUAAUACCGCAGUUUUGGUGAGCAGGAAAGCAGGGGACCGCAACACCUUGCGCUGAUUGUGCGGCCGAUGUCAGAUUAGCUAGUUGGUGGGGUAAAGGCUCACCAAGGCGACGAUCUGUAGCGGGUCUGCGAGGAUGAUCCGCCACACCGGAACUGAGACACGGUCCAGACUCCUACGGGAGGCAGCAGUGUGUAAUUGUGGACAAUGGGGGCAAUCCGGACACAGCCAUGCCACGUGAGUGAAGAAGGCCUUCUGGUUGUAAAGCUCUUUCUGUCGGGAAGAAAUAGAACGGGCUAAUACCCUGUGUGGAUGACGGUACCGGAAUAAGAAGCACCGGCUAACUCCGUGCCAGCAGCCGCCGUAACAC